AACGAACGCUGGCGGCGUGCUUAACACAUGCAAGUCGAACGGAAAGGCCCUGCUUUUGUGGGGUGCUCGAGUGGCGAACGGGUGAGUAACACGUGAGUAACCUGCCCUUGACUUUGGGAUAACUUCAGGAAACUGGGGCUAAUACCGGAUAGGAGCUCCUGCUGCAUGGUGGGGGUUGGAAAGUUUCGGCGGUUGGGGAUGGACUCGCGGCUUAUCAGCUUGUUGGUGGGGUAGUGGCUUACCAAGGCUUUGACGGGUAGCCGGCCUGAGAGGGUGACCGGCCACAUUGGGACUGAGAUACGGCCCAGACUCCUACGGGAGGCAGCAGUGGGGAAUAUUGCACAAUGGGCGGAAGCCUGAUGCAGCAACGCCGCGUGCGGGAUGACGGCCUUCGGGUUGUAAACCGCUUUCGCCUGUGACGAAGCGUGAGUGACGGUAAUGGGUAAAGAAGCACCAGCUAACUACGUG
rnacentral:rRNA from 1 species